AGAAUAGAUUGUCUUGGGGUAGCUGAAUAUUUAAUUUAUAAUGAAUAGUCAAAAUUGUUUUUUUUAAUUGAUUGUAAUAUUUUACACUAACUGGCAAUGUAUCAAUAAGAGUUCUAAUUUUUCCACAUCCUUUCGUAACUUAGUUUUGUUAGAUUUCUAGUUAAAAUCUUCUGGCUGGCCAGGUUGCUCAUGCCUGUAAUCCCAGCACUUUGGGAGGCUGAGGUGAGUGGAUCACCUGAGGUCAGGAGUUUGAGACCAGCCCGACCAACAUGGUGAAACCCCUUCUCUACUAAAAAUACAAAAAUUAGCUGGGCAUGGUGGUGGGCACCUGUAAUCCAAGCUACUCAGGAGGCCAAGGCAUGAGAAAUGCUUGAACCUGGGAGGCAGAGGUUGCAGUGAGCCGAGAUCGCGCCAUUGCACUCCAGCCUGGGCAACAAGAGCAAAACUCCAUCUCAACAACAACCACAAAAAUCUUUCUAGUAGUAUCCCUGAAGGCAUACACAAUCUGCUAUGCUUUGGGGGACACGUUGAUGGAAAAAGAGAAAAUCUGCAACUGCAAUACAAUACCAAGAAUGGAAUUAUGUGGAACUCUACUGGUAUAGAUUUCAUCUUAGCAGGCUUUCAUAGUACUCUUCUGACCAUGGUUUUCUGGAGUUUUUUCGUAUGGAGUUUGUAAGCUUCCUGACAUGGAUUAUAACUGUACUUGAUGGAGCACAGUUAUAAUAGCUGCUUUAGAGUCCUUGAUAAUUCCCACAUCUGAAUCAUCUCGAGUUAUUUUUGGCAGAUUUUGAUGGAUGUACAUUGAUGGAUAGCCACA
rnacentral:lncRNA from 1 species